GGUCAGUUGUUUUAGGUUCCUGGAGAUCAGGUCCUUUAAAGGAGACAUGCCUAAAAUAAAAAUAUAUAUGUAUUGUGAAAGGUAAACUGGAGGGUAACCAAUCCAUUGGAUUCCAAGUGGAUUUCCAAUGUGGUAGAGGAAAGUCUUCUGGUUAUGUGGUACUACCUGCUGAAUAUCUUGAAUGUCAUUGCUGUUGGUGAAGUUAUCUACAGUCUUGGUUUCCUCUCAUUUAAGGACAUGCAUGACUCAAGCCCGUCAAAGGAAUUCCCUAGUGGCCCAGAUAGAGGCUUAUCCAAAGAGAAAUCUGGCCCCUGCAUGAUCUGCUGUGAUGGCUCUGAGAUGAUUCAUCUUUGUUGAAGAUGAAGCAACAUUAUCAAACCACAGCUGACUUGGACCAGGACAAAUAAAAGUCUCUUUCUGGCCUCUAGCUGGUUGCACUUUCAAGGAAGCAUCAGAGUGAAACAGAAAACCACCUGUAGAUGACAAGGGACUUAAAACUGCUGUGGUUAACUUCACACUGACUGUGGUUGAUCCCAGAUAAUUGAAACUGUAGAAAGUGAAACUUAGGGUACCAGUUGGAGAACCUAAGAUGAGUAGAAGGUGGAAUUUCUUUUCCUCCCCAAGAGUAGCAGCAUUGGCACUGAAUCUGACACCACUUACGGACACUGAUAAUAAUAGUAACAGCUACUGACAGCCAUGUGGAUGGUGCCAGACACUGAGGAAGGUGCUCAGCAGGAGUGCUCUUACCUACUCCUCUCAGCCACUUUAUGAGGGAAACGUAAAGGAGAAUCCAUAGCUACAAAGUUAAGUAGUUUGUCCAAAGUUAUGUGGCAUUUAUUCGUCCUAGGCUUGAGGUCUGAAUCCUCCUUCUACCAUGCUACUUACUCUGCCUCCAGAUAAUCGUGGUGGUUUUUCAUAACACCCGAAACAAGAAAAAGGAAAAAUGACUUUAAAAGUUCUUGCAUAUUAUAAUCUCAUGUUAAAGCACCAAAUAAGGUCACUCAUGGAAAGAACCUUUAGCACAGAUUGAAAAAUGAGGACUUUUUACUUUUAUAGCUGUGUCCCACUUAGAAUCACUUUCAUCUAAAAAAAAAGCAGCAAUUUCAUGAAGUGCUAAUUUUAAUCAACUUACAUCUGCAUAAGGACUUCCAGCCUUCUCUUGCAUAUUCCAGUACAUAAUUCUCCCCUUUCCAGGCUAGACAGCACUGAAAAUAUUUACAACUGGACUUGUGGUUGCAUAUACCAGUGAAAACAUUAGACUGUCCUCUCCCAUUUCAAAGACCUUCUCUUUUUCUGAUUAUUAUUUAUGCAGAAGGGGCUUCCUUAGUAUAGCAAUACAUGUUAAAUGAAAUGAAAAAUCAGAGUAAAUUUAAGGCUCUUUUGCCUGUGAGAAAAGUUUGCCCAUUCUGUUUAUUUUCUCCUAAUAUGGUUAUGAAUUUCAGCAAUUUCUGAGUUGAGGUAAAAAGAGCAAACAUUUUGUUUUGUUUUAGUCUUUGUAAUUCUGAUAUGCUAUAGUGGAUCCUACAAUGAUUUUCACCACUCAAUAUAAAUGAUAUAGUUGGACACGGUUGCUUUUGUUAAAGUAGAUGGCCUUUACUGCCCUAAAAUGAUUUUAAGGCUCAAAAGUGGAGCAUUUCUUUUUCCACUCUCAGAAAUAACUUCAAAAUACACCUUUUCAUUUCAGUGGUUGGGAGCUAGGUAAGUUCUUAGCAGAUAUAAACCAAAAUUCGAUUUUUUUUAGAAGCACGAAUCUGCUUUCUAAGGACUCCUGACACCCCAUUAUGCACUGGAAAUCAGAAUCGCUUCUCCAUCCUCAUGUCAUGAGAUUGUACCCACUCAAUAUUAGGAGCUCAGGAAUGCGUCUAGUUCCUGACACUUAGUAAAUGGUGUCCUAGGAAUGGUUGUGCAUGAUUUUCCUCGUUUCAAACAUAUAUGUUCUCUUCUUCUUUUUCAGGCUCCAGGCGCCUUGAUGAGAUUGAUGAAUUUUCUUUUUUAAAACAAACAAACAAACAAAACCAUGCAUUUGUGUUACCAUUUCAUUGUUAUCCUGAGCCGAUUUCAUUGUUUGUUUGCUCCAACCAUGGAAUUCAGUAGACUGAACAUAAGCUAAGUCUCAGAAAUAAUACCUUUGAAAAUCAUCCUGAUUCCUCCCCUGUCUGAGUCAUAGAACACAAGUCUCCUCCAAAAAUGGUCCAUCUUCCAGGCUCCUCAAGGUUUCUCUGAUCCUUCCUCCCUCUCUUUCCCCUUUCGGUUCUCCUUUUGUAUACACAGACUCACAGAGACGUGUACAGGCAUUCUGCCUUUGUUUCUCUUUCUCUCCCUGUUGCCCCAAACUUCUGAGUGGUCACUGACAGGUAGCGAGUGGCUCUUGAUGCACUUCUCCCUUCAUAGUGGUGAUGAGAUGUUUAACUGGUUGAGGGUAGACAUCACUGAGGGACUGGAAGAGGUAGGAUUGGACCAGGUUUGAACUUGCAGGGUCAUUGUUCUUCCAUGACUGAUCCUCCUGUGCUCAAGGCUACACAUUAUCUUUUUUGUCUAAUAAUUGUGUAUCUCCACUACUUUCUUAGGUCUGCCUGUUUUUUCCUCCCUGGUAGGAUAAUAGAUCAGAAUGUUUAUGGAACACCAUGGCUGUUCAUUUUCAAAGAAAUUAGUUUGUGUUGCAGGCAUAACUAAAAAAUCAAUCAGGUAAUUGCUGGUGGGCGGCAUGUAUACCCAAAGGUGAUUUAGCCUGGUUUAUCUUUAUUCUCAAGGACUAGUCCUUUAAAUAUAAACCUCUUUAGAAGGUUUAAGACACCAACAUGAUUCUUCGCUAAAGCUCCAGAUAAAUGAUGCCCUAUCUGUGUUUACAAAGGCAAUAAAAAUAGACUACAGGAUGGUUACCUGGUCAAUUUAACAAAUCAGAAUGAAUUGUUUUUAAACUUGUCUUUAUAUCUGUCUUCAGGAAGAUAAACCUAAUUAUCUCUCUUCCAAAUGUGCAUUCUUAGCAUCUUCAUGAUCUUAAUUCAACUUCUUCAUCACUCAGAGGUCAAUAUAUGGCAUACCUCUUUUUCUUUUUUUUAAAUAAGAAAUCUACAUUUAAAAAGACAUUUUCCACGAACUUUACAAUGUGUAAGGAAUUUGAACAACAAUUUGGUUAUUUUGUUUACCAAUGCCAUUGAAGCAGCUAAUUGUGAAUAUGCUGGGAGAUGGGCCAUUACCAACUCAAAUGGGUAAUCAUAGAUAUUUGGGAGAGAUCCUUGCCAAGCUGUGAUAGGAAGAUAAUAGCCAUCACCAAGCAUCAUUAGGCAUUUACUGUUUUAUUUAAAUAAGACAAUAAGCUUAUGUUUUCUGGACAUAAAUACUUACACAGAACAAGCAUCUCUUCAUUUGACCUUUAAGUUACAUUAGUUACAACUACCAUUUAUUAUGAAUUUUACAUGUACAUUAUUGUCAGGCUAAAUACUUUUAUCAUUCCCAUUUUAUAGAUGAGAAAACCAAGGUGCAUGUCUUUCAUUUUUUUCUCUAUAUUGUUUUUGUGAGUCAAGGUUUUUAUUUUUUUAAAUUUUUUCAUUUGUGAAAUCAGGUAUAUUGGAACCUUUGGAGUUGAAUAGGGCUUAGUGAGUUAAUGGACUAUGUGGCAUAUUUAUUAAAUCAAGAGAAAAGCACUCUAAAUAUAUAACCUUAUGCGCAAUAUAAUCAGAAAUGGUAAUCUCUUAUCCUGUUUUGGGAGGCUCAAUAGAUAGUAAAUUAAAAAUCCUCCAAUGCGCAAUGUGCUAUAGACAUAAACGUGUGGAAAUACGUUUGUUUACUGCACUGAGUUUUACAUACCCUGAUGAAAGAACAUUUUAGAAAAAAAGUGACUUUAAAUUUUAAAAAUUCUUUUACUUAUUUUACUCCAUUUUGCCUUUUUGACACCAUAAUGCUUGAAAAAUUAUAAAAAAUUUAAAACAUAUGCAAAAUCAAGAAACUAGUUUGCUUUCUACCAUAUCUUAUCCAACCCAGUUUUCCUUCCUAAAGUCAACCACUCGAAUGAGUGUAAUCAGCAUACUGUGUAUUCUUCCAGAAAACCUUAUGCAGAAAAUAUUAGCGGGACAUACAGUCUGCUUCUCACCUUAUUAUUUUUUUGCUUGGCAAUGUAUCUGAUAGAUUGUUCUAAAUCAGUUCAUAAGUUGUUUUUCAUCUUUUAAACAACUGAAAAUAUUUUGUUGUCUGAACAAACCAUAAUGUAUCUAACAUGUCUCAGACUUCAACAUCUUCCCAGAUGAAGAAACAAAAAGACUCUCAUUUCGUUUUCUCUCUGUUUUUCUCAUGUGCUGGGGCUUGACUUUACCUAGACACUCAUGUCACUUAUCUGCUCCACUAUUCCUGAACAAACACAGCAUGUGUGACAUGGAUUUACUUUUCCACAUUUACAUAGCAUCACAUCUGCUUGCUAACUUACUUUGACGAUGAAUAGAGAAUUUGGGAUCGUUGUCAUAAUCUGCUGAAAACCAAAUUGAGGUUCAUUGAUCCUGGGGUCUUGAACCAACGUGUCAUUUAAGUCACUUUCAUUCUGUCAUCCUGUCCAGGAGGAAUUCAGUUUUUUUCCAAACAAUCUCUGUCUGGAUGAAUGGUUUAAUCCGUACAAUUUUAAAUAAAUUUGGUUAUUCAAUCUAAUAAUGAGCUUUGUCAGAGUCAGCAUAUAAAUAUUAUUAUGUAAAUAUAUGCAUUUCGAAAAUGCACUGAAGCUUAUUUUUUAAUUCAACAAAAAUACAAUGAGUGCACUAUUACAGGUGUUCAGCUAGGUAUGGAGAUACAAAGAUAAAUAGGGUAUGGUUUUUGCCCUCAAAAGCAAAAUUUAUAUCAUAAAUUUUCAGAAGCAUAUACAAAGAGGUAACUUCUAGUAUUUUGAAGGUAGAGGCUUGAUUUUGUCUUAUGGGGUUUUACAUUUGUUGGAAACUUAUAUACAUUAAAUUUACUGUGUUAAAAAGUAAUUGGGGUCUAGUUAGGCUAUCUGAUCCUCAAAUACCUGAAUGAUUAUAGUCCUCCAGACCAGACCAAUCAUGCAGGGAAUUACCUUGAGGCAAUGGUAGCUUCUAAGUGUACUAUGAAGCACGUUAUCUCAGAGAUCAAAGAGCAGAAAGGUUUAGGGGCCAAUUAAGAUACUUGUGUCAUAUAGUUUACUGAAUCAAUUUGAAAUACACAAAGAGAGUCAAGGGUAAGGAGAUGGGGUAAGUUAACAUUCUUAGAUUAGAGUCUAAGUGGACAAAGGAACACAAUACUUGAGUCCUGGGUAUCAUAAUGUUCGUAUGUCUUCUUUCUUUCUCUUACUUGCCAAUGCUGAGAAAAUGGAUAAAAAAUGAAUGUCAGCCUUCCUUGUCAAUAAUGUGAUUAUGAGAACCAGAGGUGAGGUUUGAGUUACAGGUUCACAGACAAAAGGAGUCCUGAUCCAAUGAUACAUGCUUGUUCUACACAAGUACAUAUAGGGCAGAAUGAGACUGUAGUGGGUAUCAUCAAUAGGUGGCUGAAUUUGAGGGUGACAUAGCUGUCAUCCUAGAGGUACCAUGAUUUUGUUUUUCCAUCUAUUUCUAUCUGAUCUUAAACAAAACUCCUUUAUGCACCAUUAUAAUUUUGGUUUAUUCUAUUGAUCAAUGAUUGGCAGGCCUUACACGUUACUAUGUCUAUAUAUAACUUGCCACAUUAAUUUUACCAAUGUCUCACAAGUUACUUGCUUACCCAUUAUCUAUACUUAACACGUUCUCUGAGUUUCACAUAUUUCUUAUAACUUUUGUUAAAUAUGCCUAACAAUUAUUACAAAUUCAGUCCAUCCUGUUUCUUUUCUUGUCUUCUAUAGCAGAAUUGAAUAUUCUUAAACAGUACAGAAAAUGUACAUUUAUAAGACCUUAUUCUUGAAUUCCAAUCCAUGUUCUACAUGAUGUUGGCCUUAAUUUCAAUAGUUCCAAACUGAAUUUACUGUCUUUCACGCUAAAAGACUUUUUGGUUAUUCUCUAUAAUGAUGAAUAGUGUGAAUUUUCCCCCAAUCAUAAAGUUACCUUUGCUUGUUUCCUCUUUAUCGGAAUCACUAACGCCUGUUGCUCUUUUCUUCAGCCUUUUAUCUUCUCUCCUUUACCGCUGCCACAGAUGUAGUCCCAGGUUUUCAUAAUUUCUUUUUGGAGCUAUUAAGAUAAUAUAUUAAUUAGUUUAUGUGUUCAAAGACUCUUCCACUUGCUGCCAGCUAUUUUUCUCCAAUACAAUCUGAUUCCUGAUUCCCUGUCCAGUAUUUUCCUGAUAUGGUUAGGCUUUGUGUACCCACCCAAAUCUCAUUUUGAAUUGUAAUCCCCAUAAUCCCCAUGUGUUGAGGGAGAGACAUGGUGAGUGGUGACUGAAUCAUGCGGGCAGUUUCCCCGUGCUGUUCUCAUGAUAAUGAGUUCUCAUGAGAUCUGAUGGUUUUAUAGGUGUUUGACAACUCCUCCUCCACAUGCUCCUCUCUCUCUCUAGCCACCUUGUAAAGAACAGACCUGCUUCCGCUUCUGCUAUGAUUGUAAGUUUCCUGAGGCCUCCCAAGCCAUGUGGAAC